UCGGACAAAAUAUUCCCCUGACCUUUAUUUUGGUACUCCAAAUCACCCCCUAAUCUAAUAUGGAGUACUGUAUUUGAUUUCGUAUUCAGAGUUGGGCCUGAGUAAUUCAGAACCGGGGAUAAUCACUCCGUAGCCAUGGGUCAGCCGGCUCAUGGUUUUUGACUGGUUUCUUCCGGUUUGGUACAUAUGACAGCGUUGAGGUCCUGCCCUGUGGUAACGAAGCAGAGGAGCAAAUAGGGGUGGACAAGCGGGACCUUAUCGGGAGGACUCCCAGGCGGCGAGAACUACCGGCGGCGUGACUCGGGAGAGCAGCAGGGGCUCGCCGGCGACCAGGGGCGUGGCAGAAAUUGGCCCAUGUUCGGCAACGACUCCCUUGAACACCUGUGCGAGAGGCAACCACGCUACAACGACGACUCCGGUGGCCAUAGCGGCGACGUCUCCGGUGACCGCAAGGGCGGCAACACCGGCGAGUAGGUAUUAUAUUGAAAAAAAUCAGGAAUACAUGCAAAGGCAUUGCAGCCUUGCAGGUGAAAGGUUGCAGCGUUUUCAUUUGGUUGGACUAGUGUAAGGACCCUCAGAGAAAUUUGGAUGAUCACUAAUUAGCCCAAGUGCCGAACAUUGAAGCUGCUAGAAGUAAACAAGUUGGCCUCUUGUUAAUGCUUAACAAAUUCUACAAAGGAUUGAUGCUGUGUGGGUUCAAGUUAGAGUAUUCAAAGGAACCAUCAAUAAGUUGGCAUGUUGCGGCACCAUUUUAGUACAACUAGUGUAGCUAAUGAUGUACGAAGUACAUCUUUGUAACUUCAGAAUUAUGUAUGUUUCAUGUGUGCAUCAGACAAGUAUGUAUGUAAGCGAACAAGUGUGUGUGCUGGGUGUAUGUAUGUGCCAAUUAUGUAAACCAUGCAAGUGAAAAAUUAAUAUUUUGUGGCUGUUAUGUGCA